ensembl:lncRNA
GUUCCACUGCCACAUCUGGCUGGCAUACAAGGGUUUUAUUUCUUAGCAUCUUAAUCAUAGGAUUUGUCUGGCAGCUUUUCAGACAUGUUACUGCAAUUUCCUUUUUUUCUUGUAAGCUAGGAUUAAUAUAAUACAAAAACAGGUAAGUUGCCACAUGACAUUGUAGGAUUUCAUUCAGAUUUCUGAGAAAUUACUUAAAACGCUCAUUUGGUUUAAUGCACAGAAUAAUUAUAAAGGACCAAAAUAAACACCAUGUUAGUACAAUACCAAUACUAAGUGUGCCUCUACUUGUGAUGGAAGCAAAAAGAAAAAAGAGAAGAAGAUACAAGAAACAGAGAAUGAAAAGAGAAAGAAGAAUCAGACCAUGCACUGACUUGGAAAAUGUAACAGAAAAUUACGAUGAAGAAACAUUUUUAGAUGCUAGCAAUGAGUGUAUCAAGGAGCAAUUAAAUUGGUAGUAUAAAAGAGGGGAAGCAACAUUACAUUUCAAGAAGCACACAGGACAUGUCUCAGAGUUUUAAUGUUCAAGAACUGCAUUGCCAACAAUGACUAUAAGUUGCCUUGAAUUUAUAUCCUUGGAAAAAAAAAUCCAAAAGUAUGCACCAAGUCCCCAAAUCCUCAGAUCUGUACUCAACAGAAAAAAACUUGUGAUAAGGAAGCAAGUAAAAGACCAGGCUGGAGCAGAGACCUAAAUGUACCAGGUUCUUACAGCUGGUAAUUGCUGAAAUACACUGUAAUGGAGAGAGAGAGAUCUAUACCACUGAUCAAUAAUUACAUGAGAAAUGUAGAAUGUAAACAGGCACUAGACAGCUGAAAAAAGACAAGUCACUAGAAGUCAUCCUCUGAAAAGCUAAAGUUGUGUCCAAAUAUAUAUAGAGAGAUAAAACAAAAACAAAGAAUCAUGAGCUUGAGGUAACAACCCAAACAGAAUUUGCAGGAAAAUAAAACAGUAAGAUACCAUCUCACACACAGCUAGAACUGCAGGUCUGUUGAGAAUCUAAGCCUUAAUGAUUAAAAGAGUACUCUUAGAUAGAGCUGUAUCAGGCAGGCAGAAUGAAUAGUCAUCUGUUUGCACUGUGGAAGAGGUGAGAGAGGCUCCCCUGCUGGAACUCUUCUUUGCAAGGCAUGAAGGAGGGAUCUGCCUAAACAGCAGUGAGGCACUGGGUCCACAUGUCAUUCAGUCCUCAGCUCUGGAGGAGCUCAGGGAUGAAACUGCUGAAUUACUAAUUCUGAUACACAGUAUAUUAAAAGCAACCUCAGGCCUGAAGUCAUGCACUUUGGAAAUAUGAUACCUAAUUUUAAUAUUUUGAGGGGAGAUCUGUGGAUAUACAGGCUUGUAAGCCUGGUAGUAUCUGUUACCAGACAAACCAUGAGACAUUAUAACAAAGCAUGGAAUCAGUGGCCACGCAGGUAAAUACAAGCAUCUAGUUUAUUCAGAACUAUUCAUUGUAGUUUUCUGGAACAUUUUGAAGAAGAUCUCUGGUCAAGAGCUCUUUGAGAAACCAAGGAAUCUUGAAAUAAGAGGAAUGGUAAGUGUUUUGAUAAACAGCUAGUUCAAGGUAGGAAAGAGAAUAGGACUAAAUGGUCUGUUUGCAAAAUGAAAAGAGAUCCACAGUGGAGUCACAAGUUGGAACACUGUGUACAUCUCAGAAAGGACCUGGUAGAACCACAGAAUAACAGUGAUGUGUAGAACAGCAUCCAUACGUGGAAGGAAUUCAUUACAGUUCUGCUGGAAAAGAGGCAAGUGGGAGAGAGAUCUAGUCAACAUCUAACCAAGUCAUAAUGCCACAAAGAGAUUGCAUUUUUCAGUGUUUCAUACUGGGUAUCAGGAAAACACUACGCAGUAACCGGUGAAGCUGGCAAACGACAGAUCCCAGGCCAAAAAAGGGUCGUUUACACACAGAAACCCAUGUCACAGGAUGUUGCAAAAGCUUAACAUUUGCUUAACAUCAGGAGGAAAAUAGACAGCUCCAUGGAAGAGAAGGCACCUUUGGCUUGUCUAGUCCCGUAGCCACAGCAUCUUUGAGGCUGGAACAGGUACCUGUAAGACCUGUGCUUGCCCUGACCUUAGACAGAAUUUCCUUGGUGGCCAACUGCUUCUGGAUGGUUACUAGACUAAAUGAGCUCUUUGCCAGACCUGUUUAGCUUUGAUUUUCUUGGCUUGACAGGCUUGAGCAGUGGGCCUGGGAGAACCUCAUGAGGUUCAACAAAGCCACGUGCAAGGUAUUGCACCAGGAUUGUGGCAACUCCGAGUCAGUACAAGCUGAGGGAUGAAAGGAUUGAGCACAGCCCUGCCAAAAAGGACUUUGGGAGACUAGUAGAUAGCAGCUGGACAUGAGCCAGCAAUGUGUCCUCAUGGCCCAGAAAGCCAACAGUAUCCUGGGCUGCAGCAAAAGCAUGGCCAGCAGGGCGAGGGGGGUGAUCCUGCUCCUCUAAAUGGCACUGAUGAGACCUCACUUGGAGUACUGGGUCCAGAUGUGGAGUCCUCUGUAGAGGAGAGACAUGGACCUGUUGGAUCAUGUCCAGAAAAGGGCCAGAAAAACAAUCCAAGGGAUGGAAUGCCUCUCCUGUGAAGACAGGCUAAGAGAGCUGGGGCUGUUCAGCCUGGUGUAGAGAAGGCUCCAAGUGACCUGGUAGAGGCCUUUCAGUACCUAAAGGAGGACUGUAAGAAAGAAGGAGACAGACUGUUUAGCUGGGUCUGCUGUGAUAGGACAAGGGGAAAUGAUUUAAACUAAAGGAGGAGAGAUUUAGACUGGAUAUGAAGAAGUUUUUUACAGAAGAAGUAGUGAGGCACAGAAACAGCUUGCCCAGAGAGGUGGCGGAUGUCCUGUUCCUGGAGACAUUCAAGGUCAGGCUGGAUGGGGCUCUGAGCUCCCUGAUAAAGCUGUAGAUGUCCCUGUUCAUUGCAGGGGAGUUGGACUAGAUGGCCUUUAAUGAUUUCUUCCAACUCAAACAAUUCUACGAUUCUGUUCAUUACCAUCUCAUAUCACAAGAUGAAUGCAAACACACUCGCUAAGAACUCUACACCUUGUCAUUUCCUGUCAUUCCCAUGAGAGUCUCCCCCAUUUGGAUUCACAUGCCUCUAAUAUUUUACUACUAGAAUGCAGGGCUCCUCACGGGACUUUCCUGUGCCCCACUUUCUUCCCACCAGUGUACUCCACUCACCCAAUUACUUCUUCCUGCUUCUAAGAACACCCUUCUUUAAGCUUGCUUUACCAGGGCUCUAUCUGCCUCCACCCACUACUCUCAGGCAGGGCUGUGGCUUCCCUCGGUACAACGGAGGCCUGCACCGACUCUGGGAAUGCAGAACUGCAGGGCAGGCAAAUGUUUGAGCACUGCAGUACAAACAUAAGGACAGAACGGGAACUGACAUUAAACAGGUGGUAGCCUUGCAAGUGUAAUCAGUACCCAUCUAGCCAUACACAUGAAAUACUGCUUGAUUUAAAAUAGCAAACUAUCAUGAUAUAACCUCACCACACUCCUUCGCAUACAGGAAUUCAGGAGACUUUUCCCUCCUCUUUCCUAUUAUUUCUUCUUAGGUACAGAGAAGUGACAGAAAUUUCUGUUAGCUAUUUACAAAUCUAUAUCGCCUCCAAACCCCUGACAACAGAGCAAUUUUUUCACAGGUAUGGUCAUCUGAUCUUUACGCCUGCUUGUGGAAAAUGUUGGGGUUUUUUUUUGCAUAUCACCAGUUAUUAAAGCAGUGUUUGAAUCACAGAAUCAUAGUUUGCUUCCAGUUCUGAGCUGAAGACCUUUAUUGUGACAUCUCUUUAUCACCCACUCCUUUUGAAGCCCUUACCCUCUGGCAGAGGCCAGAAUUUCUCUACGGUUUCACCUUUUGCUCCCCAGCUCACUCGGUGAUUUUUACAUUUAUACUUCAUACAGUGCGAACAUUUCCUGAAUGCUGUCUUUUGUAAUCUGUCACACUCCUGAGUUCUGGAGCGUACCAGGAAUUUCUCUAGAAGAAACAAAAAGCAAGUACGUGAUUUUUGUUCUCGUGUAGAAGUGUUUGAAAAGGAAACGCUGAGAAAAAGAUCAGUGUCCCCAUCUCCUUUAUGCACUCGUUCCUAAUAUCAAAUCUUUUUGAGAAGGUAGGGGGGGAACUGUUGCCUGACUCUCCUCCCAUUCUGUGAGCUACGACUUGCACGUGUAUAAAGCAGAUAGCAGUGAAUAAUGACAGUGCAUUGGCUGAUCUGAUACUGUGGAGCAGAAGGUUUUCCCAUCAGUCAGAGGUUCCUCUUUAAGCCUCAGAACUAACUUCCUAUGUCCUAAUGGGUUGUGCAGGCAUCUUCACUGAGACAGAAGGAUUGUGUUACUUGCAGCACAGGACCGAGGAAGGAGAUAUUGCUGGUAGCAAAUUAUGCAGCGAGAAGUGCUUUACAGAAAGGACUCCACAGUGUGCUCGGAAGACAUCUGGAGGCCGGCAGGGGAGCGCAGUGUUCACCCGCUCCCGCUCCGAGGUACCCUCGUGGGUACCCGCAGCGCACACAGCUCCGCUCUGACUCACGGGCACACGCCUAUCCCCGCGCUCACUUAUCCGAGCCGCACAUGCGGACAGCCCCACGCCCCUCUACGCCCGAUAGCGCGCUCGGGAACGAUCGAGACACGGCUGCAGAAGGCCACGCCGGCGGCUGCGCUGCCGCCUCCUCCCGGGGGCUGC